GAUGUGGUUGAUAGGCCGGGAGUGGAAGUACAGCGAUGUAUGGAGCGGACCGGUACUAAUAGACCGAGGACUUGACUACA
rnacentral:rRNA from 2 species